AUAGGGGAGCCGUAGGGAAACCGAGUCUUAACUGGGCGAAUGAGUUGCAGGGUAUAGACCCGAAACCCGGUGAUCUAGCCAUGGGCAGGUUGAAGGUUGGGUAACACUAACUGGAGGACCGAACCGACUAAUGUUGAAAAAUUAGCGGAUGACUUGUGGCUGGGGGUGAAAGGCCAAUCAAACCGGGAGAUAGCUGGUUCUCCCCGAAAGCUAUUUAGGUAGCGCCUCGUGAACUCAUCUUCGGGGGUAGAGCACUGUUUCGACUAGGGGGUCAUCCCGACUUACCAACUCGAUGCAAACUACGAAUACCGAAGAAUGUUAUCACGGGAGACACACGGCGGGUGCUAACGUUCGUCGUGAAGAGGGAAACAACCCAGACCGCCAGCUAAGGUCCCAAAGUCAUAGUUAAGUGGGAAACGAAGUGGGAAGGCUCAGACAGCCAGGAUGUUGGCUUAGAAGCAGCCAUCAUUUAAAGAAAGCGUAAUAGCUCACUGGUCGAGUCGGCCUGCGCGGAAGAUGUAACGGGGCUAAACUAUGCACCGAAGCUGCGGCAGCGAUAUGUAAAUAUUGUUGGGUAGGGGAGCGUUCUGUAAGCCUGUGAAGGUGUACUGUGAGGUAUGCUGGAGGUAUCAGAAGUGCGAAUGCUGACAUAAGUAACGAUAAUGCGGGUGAAAAACCCGCACGCCGGAAGACCAAGGGUUCCUGUCCAACGUUAAUCGGGGCAGGGUGAGUCGACCCCUAAGGCGAGGCAGAAAUGCGUAGUCGAUGGGAAACGGGUUAAUAUUCCCGUACUGGUGAUAAUUGCGAUGGGGGGACGGAGAAGGCUAGGCUGGCCGGGCGACGGUUGUCCCGGUUUAAGGAUGUAGGCAGGUGAAUUAGGCAAAUCCGGUUCACUA
rnacentral:rRNA from 2 species